UUAUUAUCAACUACUUAUCAACUUACACAUGCAAGUCUCAGCACCCCUGUGAGAACGCCCUUCAACCUCAACCAGGACAAGGAGCCGGUAUCAGGCACAGAAAAUCUUGCCCACAACACCUAGCUUUGCCACUCCCCCAAGGGUCCUCAGCAGUGAUUAACAUUGUAUAUGAGCGCCAGCUCGACUCAGUUAGAUAAAACAGAGCCGGCUAAUCCGGUGCCAGCCGCCGCGGCUACACCGUUGGGCCCAAGUUGACAAUCAUUCGGCGUUAAGCGUGUUUAAAGUUUUUACAUUUAUUAUGAUUAAACUUAAACCAAGUUGUGACCCACUUGUUUAUAAGAAAGCCAGAAACGAAAGUUAUUCUAAUAAAACCACUUGAACCCACGACAGCUAGGACACAAACUGGGAUUAGGUACCCCACUAUGCCUAGCCGUAAAAUAUUUACUUACACCAAACCCGCCCGGGAUUACGAGCUCAAGCUUAAAACCCAAAGGACUUGACGGUGUCCCACCCAUCUAGAGGAGCCUGUUCUAUAAUCGAUUCUCCCCGAUACACCUCACCACUUCUAGCCUCUCAGCCUGUAUACCUCCGUCGCAAGCUUACCAUAUGAACGAAUCCUAGUGAGCUUAAACAUCAACCAUAAACACGUCAGGUCAAGGUGCAGCCAACGAUGUGGGAAGCAAUGGGCUACAAUUUCUACCAAUAGAACAAACGAAAGACUACAUGCAACUCGGUCAUGAAGGCGGAUUUAGCAGUAAAAAGAAAAUAGAGAGUUCUUUUUAAUUAGGCACUGGGACGCGUACACACCGCCCGUCACCCUCUUCAAAUGAAACCCCCACAGUUUUUAACUUCAUUACUCACCACAGAAGAGGUAAGUCGUAACACGGUAAGCGUACUGGAAAGUGCGCUUGGAUUAACAAA
rnacentral:ncRNA from 1 species